ACCCCACCACCAUCGAGGUCACCAUCACCACCGGGUCCACCACACCCACUAUCUACGCCUGCUUUCCACUGCCCACGAAACCCUUUUUAACAUUUCCAUAAACACCAUCCACCUUUCACUCUCUGAAUCACAAACACACUUACCCCUCAUACCUGAUUAAGACAACAUCGUCAGAAAAUAUGGAGAAGUUGGAGAGCAAGUUUUGUGCUGGAGGAAGUUAGCGGCGA
rnacentral:miRNA from 1 species